GUGAAUCAUCAAAUUUUUGAACGCAAAUUGCGCCUUUUUCGGAAGGCAUGUCUGUUUGAGGGCACCAUUUAACAAAUAAUGUGCAGCGUUUUUUGUUGCACACGUUGAUGAUCUUUCCAAGAAUUUUAAAUUUUUGGUGGCGCAUAAUGAACAGCGUGAAGCUUUUUUUUCAUUUCGAGUGUAUUAAAUUCUUUGCUUGUGUUUUGAAAAGCGUAAUCGCGCACUGGUUGUGGCCAUUUUUUAUUAUCCCUGCCCCAAUUCCACUCUUUCUCACGAAUGAGUGUCUAUUCUUCA
rnacentral:misc_RNA from 1 species